rnacentral:tRNA from 1 species
AGAUUAGUGCAAUGAAUUUAAGAUUCAUAUAUAAAUAUAGUUAUUUUUCUAGAA